UACGUAGGGUGCGAGCGUUAAUCGGAAUUACUGGGCGUAAAGCGUGCGCAGGCGGUUCGCCAAGUCAGUUGUGAAAUCUCCGGGCUUAACUCGGAAAGGUCAACUGAUACUGUGCGACUAGAGUGCGGAAGGGGCAACUGGAAUUCUCGGUGUAGCGGUGAAAUGCGUAGAUAUCGAGAGGAACACCUGCGGCGAAGGCGGGUUGCUGGGCCGACACUGACGCUGAUGCGCGAAAGCCAGGGGAGCGAACGGG
rnacentral:rRNA from 1 species